CCUACGGGAGGCUGCAGUGAGGAAUAUUGGUCAAUGGGCGGAAGCCUGAACCAGCCAAGUAGCGUGCAGGAUGACGGCCCUACGGGUUGUAAACUGCUUUUAUACGGGAAUAACGCGCCUUACGUGUAGGGCUUUGCAUGUACCCUAUGAAUAAGGACCGGCUAAUUCCGUGCCAGCAGCUGCGGUAAUACGGCGGGUCCGGGCGUUAUCCGGAUUUAAUGGGGUUAAAGGGAGCGUCGGCGGCAUGUCAAGCGUGCUGUGAAAGGUCCGGGCCCAACCCGGGCCUUGCAGCGCGACCUGGCGUGCUGGAGUCCGCGGAAAGCAGGCGGAAUGCGGAGUGUAGCGGUGAAAUGCUUAGAUAUGACGAAGAACCCCGAUUGCGAAGGCAGCUUGCUGCAGCGGAACUGACGCUGAUGCUCGAAAGCGCGGGUAUCGAACAGGAUUAGAUACCCCUGUAGUC
rnacentral:rRNA from 1 species